CGGGGGAGGCGGGAUCCUGGGCUGUGUCCCGGCGCCCUGUGCUCCGGGGCCUGCGCUGUUGGAUUCGCGCUCCCGCCCCACAGCCCCCU
rnacentral:pre_miRNA from 1 species